CUUCACCAACAUCGUUUCAUAACUUGUGAAAAAAUUGGAAGAUAUUGUCUGUCUUCAAGGCAUAAAGAUGGCAAUUUUCGGUGAUAGAAGUUACAUUCUUGCUUCGCACGUCAUCGCUGAAACAAAAUGUGCAUAGGAAAUAAAACAUGAUGAUGAAAAUGGACACGUAAUUCGCAAGUCCUUUAAUUAUCGCUCUGCUAAAACGGAAACAAAC